GUUCCUAUUCUCACCUACCCCCAUGGGAGUUAAAUAGGGAAAGGAAAAUGAAAGUGAGAACCAAACCACCUCUCAAUCCAACCGGCCUACCUACCCGCCCACCUUAGCAGUUAGCAGCAUCAAUUUCCUAAUGAACCACAGGGGAAGGAAACCAAAUCAUCACCCUUGUUCAAAGCUGAUACAUGUUUUAUGUACUUGGUUACGCUCGGAUUGACAUUGUGAAGGAGCUCGAAUUGAGAUUGUGAAGGGAAGAAAAGAAUGGAGUUCCUUCAAGGAAUUUGGGCUCUGUUCUUUUGUUUAUAUUUUCUUAGGAUUCAACGGAUGGAUGGUUGAAGGAAAAUAUUGAAGAAUUAUUAUUUUUUUCUAAGUUUCUUUUGAGACGAGGAUGACUGAUGAGAUUUAUGAAAAUGUUUGAUUGUUAUA